UGUUUUAACUAACAGCUCAAGGCAGGAGCUGAGGGCUCAGCCACAGUAUUUACUCAGCCCCGUUUCCUGGAAUCUGAGAGCUGAUAGGAUGUUGUCCUUCCUUCUUGUCCAUCUCGGUGUGCCUAGGGUCUUGUUCUUGUAAAUAAGGUCCUAUGUGACUCCCAGUCCCACCAGGGUUAUAAUUUUCCACAUUCAGUGAGUGGAAGGCACUCAGGUUCUCUUACACAAGGCAGGCACUUGCUCCAGGGCACCAUAGAUGACAAUAUUGAUUACAAGUGGAGCUCACUUAGAGAUGAUUAAUGUACUUUGUAACUAGAAAGAAAACAAGUAGAAAUAUAUAUUUUGUCUUUCUUUUAACGGUGAGAAUGGAACAGGUGUUACCAGCCACUGAAUUGGUAAUACUCUUCAUUCAAACUGUCUGGUGACACAUUGCCCAAGUCUUACUACUGAGCCACAUCUGUUUUGUUCACGUUCCUUAUCAGCUCUGGGAAUGUGAGCCCACAGGACAUGAGCAGGAGGAGUAUUGGCGUGGGCGGGUGAAGGUGAUUUGCAAACUCCUGAAUCAGAUGAUGCCUUGCUGUUGCCUCUCCUUGAGGUCUGUUUUGGGGUUUGCUAAAGAUAGAGAGGUGUUGUCAGGAUGAGGUCAGAUGGCUUCGGGAAUGUUGAGGAUUUAUUUCUGAAGGCAGGGGUGAUGUCUUCUGGCCUCCUGUGGGUGGGUGAGGAAUGAACAGCCAGCCUAGGUAUAAAGCCAACCAAUGAAGGAGGGUUCAUGGGGAUCUCGGCGGCUAGACUGACCCUCCCCCUGACCUUGCAGGGUGGUUCUGAGUAAGUGGGGCCUCAAGUCUCAAGUGGCUGUCAGUGGGGACUCCCGAUAGGAGCUGGAGAGGAGCGAGUUUGCCAAGAGUUCAGCAGCGAGCUUUGCCUCUGUAAAAAGAGAUAGCCUGAAAGCGCGAGGGAGCCUUCUGGGUUUGAGUCACGACCUUUCCUGUCACAUCUCUGCUCCUGGCAGGUUGCUGGAGAGAUGUGUGUGACAGGCUCACCUUUCAGCGCUGCAGUCUUACUGCUGAGGUUGAAGGAGUGAGGAGGAAAGAGAGGAGAGAGCUUCACCCUGCUUCCUUAACCCACCCUUGCCGGGUCAGGACCAGGUCACAGAGGUCAGCAGCCUUGUGGGAACAUCCUGAUGAUAAGGUGAAAGGUCUCUUUCCUAAUCCUGCAAGAAUGUGAAGUCACCUGAGCCACUGUCUGAUCAUGCUGUGGUCUUCUAGUCACCUGGCAGAAUCUAGGCAUUUACACAAGAGCACCCUUGAAUUUUAAUUAGCAGUGAAUGGCACAACCCAGAUGCAGCAGGCCACAGCUUCUCCCUAGCAAAGUGCUCAAAGGAACUGUGUCAGUAAACUGUGAUGUGUGUGUGUGAGAGAGAGUGUUGUGUGUGUGUGAGAGUGUGUGAGUAUGUUGUGUCUGUGUGUGAGUGUGUGUGUGAGCAUGAUGUGUUUGUCUUAGUUAAAGGUAUUAAAGGUAAAAAUUUAAGGGAAUAGGAGCAGCGCUGAAGAUAAUGGCAGGCUCAGCGUGGGUAGCUCCGGCUCGGCCCGGUGUCCGGGGUAUGAGGGUCCUGUAAACCCCAGGCUGCAAACAAUGAGUCUCUGACUCGGCGGAGAGCAUGGGUACGGGCGCUGGCUCCAUCCAAGAAGCUGGUGGGCCCUUCGGAAAAGGAGAGAAGGCUGAAGAGGAUCGGUACUUCCGAGAGAAGGCUAGAGAACAGCUAGCUGCCCUGAAGAAACACCGUGAAGAGGAGAUUGACCACCAUUCGAAGGAGAUAGAACGUCUGCAGAAACAAACUGAAUGGCAAAUUGAAGAAGAUUAAGAACCUAAAGAGCAGUGAUCACUAAACGCACACAGUCCCUCACCGAAGGCCCGUAUCAUUCCCCACUUCUGUAGAAACAUUGUUUUGAAUGAUUAAUAUUUGGCCUGUGAUACUAACAGAUAAUAAAUUAUCCCCAGGAAAAAAAAUUCAUGGGAAUAAAGAAAAACAGGAAGCGA